CUCAAAUUUGAUGGCGGAGAUGGGCAGUAUACAUCCAGUUUUAUUACAUGAGAAUGAGAAUCGAAGUGAAUUUCAUGUUGAAUCCGACCACUAUAGCAGAGAUUCAUUCGGCGCUUGACAAGGUUGAGGAUGAUCCCAAGGCAGCUGCUUUGAUCACUACGAAUGAGGGAAAGUUUUUCUCGGUCUUGACUUGUGAUUCGCAC